GACGAACGCUGGCGGCGUGCUUAACACAUGCAAGUCGAGCGGUAAGGCCCUUUCGGGGGUACGACGAGCGGCGAACGGGUGAGUGACACGUGGGUGACCUCGCCCUCAGCUCUGGGAGUAAGCCUGGGAAACCGGGGUCUAAUACCGGAUAUGACUCCAUGACGCAUGUUGUGGGGUGGAAAGCCUUGUGCGGCUGAGGAUGGGCCCGCGGCCUAUCAGCUUGUUGGGGGGGUGAUGGCCUACC
rnacentral:rRNA from 1 species